CAUUUCCGCGCCCAAAUGGUGUUC
rnacentral:siRNA from 1 species